rnacentral:lncRNA from 1 species
AUGUUGUUACCACAAUAUAGCUUUCAUGAAAAUCUUUGCAAUAACAUUUACUGAUAGUUUUAUUUGAUUGUAUAAUUCAGUUAAUUGUUUAUUUUGUUUCAAGCCUUUCUAUUAUUGCCCAGUUCAUGGAGGAUAAGAAUAAGAUUAUGCUUCUGGGGAAUUUCAAGAAUAUCAAGAAUUUCUACUAAAGUUGAAGAAUCAAACUAUGAGGAGAAAACUCGUGAAGAUAAAGACUUUGCACCAGCUAUCUUUAAUCGACAAUAAUAGAGACGAAGGAUGGCACUAGUCACAAGGCCGAUACAUAAAAUAAGCAACCUAACGGUACGAAGAUUAGAAAUGAUCGUGCAAAAUGCAUUUAAAUUGUACUUUAGUAGUAUUUGAUAUUGAACUUUUAGAUG